CUAGCCCUAAAUCAAGGCUGGCAACUUCCUGAUGCUGUUGGUUUCAAGCAAGAGCUUAAAGAGAUGUCUUUCUACGGUCUGUUGGCCAUUUCAGAACUUGGGCAAUGAAAUGGUCAGUUCACUAGAAAGAAACAGCU
ensembl:snoRNA small nucleolar RNA SNORA2/SNORA34 family